UGUUUUUCCACCCAGAGCCUAACAUGCAAACUCUGAUCAAUGCAAUUAUAGCUCUUUGUAUCGUCUGUGCUGCUUUGGCUGCAAGUUUGACUGUUUCAGUCUAUCUCAUCUGGGCCAAUAAAAAGAAGGAUUCUCACAGUGAUGAAGAACCAGCCAGCAGUGAUCAGCAGGGUGAUGAAGCUUCAUUGACCUAUUCGGCACCAACCUUCAGCAGGAGAAAAGAUAAAGAAAGAGGAAACACACGCUUGGCUCAGAAAGAGACGCUCUACAGUGACGUGCGUUUUCACCACUGAACAAUUUACGCUCUCUUCAUGCUGAUCUGCUAAAUCAUGUUGAUGGGACAUUUAUAUUGGCAAAAUGUCUACUAAGUUACAACUGAGAUUCAUGCUUGAGUUCAAUUUACAUCAUUUUAAAUAUUUCAUUUGCGAAUUUCUGAUUCAGUAUAAAGUUCAAUUCCAGUCAUCAGUACUCAUAAGUAACUGCAUACGACUUGUAUUUAUGUCUGAAAUUAUAUUAUACCAAUGACAUUAAACUUUAGGGCGGCUGUGGUUCAGUGGGGAGAGCAGUCGUCUCUCAAUCGGAAGGUUGUCAGUUCAAUUCCUGUCUCCCCCUGUCUGCAUGUCGAAGUGUCCUUGGGCAAAACACUGAACCCUACAUUGCCCCCAGUGGAUGGACUGAGCGCCUUGCAUGGCAGCUGCCUCUGUGUGUGAGUGUGAAUGGGUGAAUGUGAUAUUGCAGUGUAAAGCGCUUUGGCCUCUGUCAGUGCAGGGUAAAAAGUGCUAUAUAAGUGUAGUCCAUUUAAUCUCAUUAUUUUCUCUUCAGUUGUUGUCAUCGUGUUGAUUCUGGUGUAUUUUUUCUUUUUUUUCAGAACACUGAAUCCACUGUCAGGUUUUAAUUUUGACUCUUAUUUUGCAUUACUGAUUUUUUUUUUUUGUUUUUUUCUUGAUGUGUAUGUGUUCUGAAGGUUUCUGCCUUUUUUAUUAUUCGA
rnacentral:lncRNA from 1 species